rnacentral:lncRNA from 1 species
AUCAAGAUAUUUGGGAAAAGCAUAUUCCAGGCAGAGGUCUGAGCAAAUGCAAAGACCUGACCUGAAGGGAGAAUAUCUCUGGGUGUUCAAGGAACAGUAAGGAGGCCAGAUGGUUGAAACCAGCUGAGAAAAAGGUGACAGAAAGCUCUUCCCCUGCUCUGCCCCCAAGACCCAUCCUCUCCCUGCGACAUCUGUGGAGAUUUCUCAAGGACACGGCUCCAGGGGUGCAGUAACUUUAAAUUCCUCAAAUCCCCUGAGUGCAAGGCCAUGGCUCAGAAAAGCCUUGCAAACAACAGCAUUAAUCUCCCCUACAAGGACUUGACCUCCGAGGUAACCAGGCGCCGAGUCACCAUGAUCACAAGGAAAGAGAUAAUUACCCAGAAAAGUGAUGAAGCUAAGGAGAUGCUCUCCCACUUGGAUUUGGAGCAAGCCCCUCCCCCUCACAGGACCUACCUCACAGUACCUCCUGCCCCACCUCCUUCUCCAGCUGAGGAUCCCACGG